UAAAACAGUGGUUCCUAUACGAUCAUCAAAGUUAAGCUUGGUUGAGCCUGAUCAGUACCUAGAUGGGUGAGCACUUGGGAAUACCAGGUGCUGUAAU